UGAAUACGAGACGCUACGGCGUCGAAGCAGUCUAUGUCAUACUUCCAAGAAAAGCUUGCACUGUCAUAAACAAACAAUGCCUGUACCAUAACCGACACAGGUGGGUAGGUAGAGUAUACUAAGGGGCGCGAGAUAACUCUCUCUAAGGAACUCGGCAAAAUGACUCCGUAACUUCGGGAGAAGGAGUGCCUUAAGAAAUUAAGGUUGCAAUAACAAGAUCCAAGCAACUGUUUAUCAAAAACACAGGUCUCCGCUAAGUCGUAAGACGAUGUAUGGGGGCUGACGCCUGCCCAGUGCCAGAAGGUUAAAGAAGUCGGUUAGCAUUAGCGAAGCUGGUAACUGAAGCCCUGGUGAACGGCGGCCGUAACUAUAACGGUCCUAAGGUAGCGAAAUUCCUUGUCGGGUAAGUUCCGACCCGCACGAAAGGCGUAAUGAUUUGGAUUCUGUCUCGGAGAGGGACUCGGUGAAAUAGACUUGUCUGUGAAGAUGCGGACUACCUGCACCAGGACAGAAAGACCCUAUGAAGCUUUACCGUAACUUGAAAUUGAAAUUGGACUUUACUUGCGCAGUAUAGGUGGGAGGCGUUGAGAAUAUUCUUGCGGGAAUAUUGGAGCCAUCAGUGAGAUACCACUCUUGUAAUGUUAGAUUUCUAACUUUGUAUCAUUAUCUGGUCAAAGAACAGUUUCAGGCGGGCAGUUUGACUGGGGCGGUCGCCUCCUAAACGGUAACGGAGGCGCACAAAGGUUUCCUCUGAACGGGUAGAAAUCGGAUCUAGAGUGUAAAGGCAUAAGGAAGCUUGACUGUGAGACCUACAAGUCGAGCAGGGACGAAAGUCGGUCUUAGUGAUCUGACGGUGCUGAGUGGAAAGGCCGUCACUCAACGGAUAAAAGUUACUCUAAGGAUAACAGGCUGAUCUCCCCCAAGAGUUCACAUCGACGGGGAGGUUUGGCACCUCGAUGUCGGCUCAUCGCAUCCUGGGGCGGUAGUACGUCCCAAGGGUUGGGCUGUUCGCCCAUGAAAGCGGUACGCGAGCUGGGUUCAGAACGUCGUGAGACAGUUCGGUCCAUAUCCGGUGUAGGCGUUAGAAUAUUGAGAGGAGCCUUCUUUAGUACGAGAGGACCGAGAAGGACAUACCUCUGGUGUACCAGUUAUCGUGCCAACGGUAAACGCUGGGUAGCCAUGUAUGGAGAGGAUAACCGCUGAAAGCAUCUAAGUGGGAAGCCCACCUCAAGAUAAGUAUUCGC
rnacentral:rRNA from 1 species